rnacentral:rRNA from 1 species
UACGGGGGGGGUAAGCGUUGUUCGGAAUUACUGGGCGUAAAGGGCUCGUAGGCGGCCAACUAAGUCAUACGUGAAAUCCCUCAGCUUAACUGGGGAACUGCGUGUGAUACUGGAUGGCUUGGAUUCGGGAGAGGAAUGCGGAAUUCCAGGUGUAGCGGUGAAAUGCGUAGAUAUCAGGAGGAACACCAAUAGCGAAGGCAGCUCGCUGGGACGGUAUUGACGCUAAGGCGCGAAAGCGUGGGGAGCAAACAGG